UUUCAUAUCUCAUAAAACAUAACACUACUACACACAGAAGUUAGAGAGAGUGAAAAUGGCAGGAAUCGUGAGCAAGAUUGGAGAUGCCCUCCACAUUGGAGGAAACAAGAAAGACGGCGAGCACACGGACAAGAAAGGCGAGCACACGGACAAGAAAGGCGAGCACCACACGGACAAGAAGGACGAGCACCACAAGGACAAGAAAGACGACCACCACAAGGAGAAGGACGGCGACCACCACAAGAAGGACAAGGGCGACCACAAAGACAAAGGCGAGAAGAAAAAGAAGAAGGAUAAGAAGAAGGAUGGCCAUGGGAGCGGCAGCAGCAGCAGCGACAGCGAUUGAUCCGCCCUUGCUACUUCGCAUGUGCAUGCAUCUGCCCAAUAAUCAGUUUGAUUUGCCUUGUAGGUGUUUCAUGUUUGGGGCGUCAAGAGAGCAUGCUCAAGUCCUGUUUCCUUUUCGUAACGGCCAAUAUUUACAUUCAAAAAGAAAAGGCUUCUUUCACAGCCCAACCAAAAACCCAAAAAAACGUGUUUAUUUUCUUGUUACUAGGAAGUUGUAAAAUGUUUCUGGGAAACCUUGGAAAGCCUUUGUGAUAUGAAAUAAUAAUGUGGGUGAAUGCUCAGUACUAUCUGUGUUAAUUGAUUUAGUUGUUUAAUAUAUCUGUACUGCCCAUCAUAGUAGCGUUUUGUAAUUAAACAAGACAUUUAAGUGUU